rnacentral:rRNA from 1 species
CUGACACAGGGAGGUAGUGACAAUAAAUAACAAUGCCGGGCCUUUUUAGGUCUGGCAAUUGGAAUGAGAACAAUUUAAAUCCCUUAUCGAGGAUCAAUUGGAGGGCAAGUCUGGUGCCAGCAGCCGCGGUAAUUCCAGCUCCAAUAGCGUAUAUUAAAGUUGUUGCAGUUAAAAAGCUCGUAGUUGGAUUUCUGGUGGGAGCGUUGGGCCGGCCCUAAGGGUCUGUGCUCAAAUGUUUUCCGCCAUCCUUGAGUGGAACUUUUCUGGCAUUCAGUUGUCGGGAUUGCUAAACUCAUCAUUUACUGUGAAAAAAUUAGAGUGUUCAAAGCAGGCUUAUGCCGUUGAAUACAUUAGCAUGGAAUAAUAAGAUAGGACCCUGGUACUAUUUUGUUGGUUUGCGUACCUAGGUAAUGAUUAAUAGGGACAGUUGGGGGUAUUUAUAUUCCGUUGUCAGAGGUGAAAUUCUUGGAUUUACGGAAGAUAAACUACUGCGAAAGCAUUUACCAAGGAUGUUU